AUUAUGAUUGUCUGUGAUUCAUUGAUUCCCCAUGCAAACAAGUCCUCUGAAAUCCAAUCUAUCUCCUUCCCUGCUCCAGGGAAAGUUUGAGAGAGGAUAAAUCAUGAGUUCAUUUGAAAAGAGAAGAAUUGAACAGAACUAAAACAAUGGAACAUGGAAGCAAGAGUGAUAUAAGAAAAUGAGGAGCUCUCUGAUGAAUUCCUACUUGAGGAGAACUGAAGAGAGGACAAUGAUCCAAAGAGCACCAACUCAGAGGAAACAUUUUCCCAGCUAUGGCUUAGGAUAGAUCCCCAACUCUGAAAUUCAGUGAUUCUGUGCAAGGAGGAGAAUUGCACUCAAUGAAGAAAAGACUGAAGCAGAGCCUAAAACUACACCAAAAACCUGAAGCCAUUCUCUUAAAUACAUUUUAAUUAACUUAAAUUAAACAAUUUAGAACACCAAAAUCCAGUUGUUUGAAACUUCUUUUAGAAGUCUAAUGUUAUAAAAAAAAAAAAAAAAAAAAAAAAAAA